CUGUUCCUGCCUCACUCUCCCAGAAUCCUGGGAUUACAGGCAUGCCAUAUUGUGGACAUUUAUGUGGACUCUCUAAGUGGCGGCACCUUGCUAGCGGCCGUGAUGAUACAACUCCCUUGGCAAAGGUGAAUGUAGAAGAGUUCCAGCACUGCAGAAUGAAACUUGCCAGGAGGGGGAGCCCUACGUAACUGCAUGGAGAAACUGCUCUGCCAGUCUGUGCAAGAGAUGUAGUUGACAAGAAACAAACUUCUGUUGUGUUAAGGCACUUAGACACCUGGGGAUGUUCCUUACUGCAACAUAACCUAGCUUAUACAAAUACAUGCAAACAAACUAGCACUUAUUAAUAUGUAUUAUGUGUCAGAAAUUUUGUGAAUACUUCUCAUGUAUCAUUCUACUAACUCUGUACAAAGCCCCAAAGCCAGUACUGUUAUACUGAGGUGACGAAGCUAAGUCAAUGUAAGGACAAAUUUGUCCAAGGCUGCCAGCUAAACGGAACGAAUGGAAAUGAAACCCAAGCAGUUCAGAGAAAUACCCACCAAGCCGUUAACAGUGGUUUCCCUUGCAGGUGGGAUUAUGGACUGACCACUCCUUAUUUUUUCAUUUAAAAAAAAUCAUAUUAUUUCUUUUGUAGUAGACAAAUAAAUAAAAAAAAGCUAUAAAAAGGCAAAUAAAUAAAAGCAAAUAAAUUUAAAAAGCUACCUAUUAGAUACUUUCAGAUUAUGAAUUCAGAAAUGAAAAUGAAGUAAUCAUGGGACCUUGGUGUAAUUAAGGAGGCCGGGGAUGUAGCUCAGCGGCAUAAGCGCUUACCUGGCAAGCCUGAGGUCAUGAGUUCCAUUCCCAGUAC